CCAGCACGCACGGCCCGGGUGGCACAGCCCUGCAGCAGCUGCCAUCCAGGAAAACGUCCCACGGAAUGGCUUCCUGGCACGGAUGGGAAUCCUCUGCCUAGCCUGCAGCAAUGAACGUGGACGGGAGUUAGCUGGUUGCACACAUGACCUUUCUUCCAUAGUACAAGUUAGUUAAUGUACAACAGGCAUCCAGCCCCUGGCAGGUGCCAUGACGAGGAGUCAGGAUAAGAACCCCAUCACGCCUGGCACCUUGGCUUUUGACCAAGGUCAGGAGAACUUCAGGAGAGGUGGGAGAGACACAGACCUCAAUCUGCCCUACUGGCACUGUCUGGCUCUUAUCCGAAACAUCAGAAGUUACUUGCUGACCUGCACCAGAAAUAAACAACAGAUUUGCAUGCUGGCAACACUGUUGAAAAUUUGGACAAACCUUCUAAACUUGCAAUUAGCACCUACCUGAAACCCACCUCACCUAGAACACACAGCAUCAUUCCAGGGCACCAUUCAGUGCAGUCUGAGAGAUUUGCUGCUGCUGCAGGAUGUGUAGAAGGUUUUGUCUGUGUGAGCAAGAUUUUUUAUUGUGGACAUUCAUGUUCAGGCUUCUUUUUGUUGUCCUUCACUUGCAGAUGUCAGUCAAGGACUAUGUGACCAUAGCAACUGAAGUGUCAAUACAAGUUGUUGCACAAUCAGAA